CAACGCCUCACCGAAGCCUCGCUGCAGCUCUCCGUUUAUUUUUUCAGUUAGCAGAAAUGACCGAGGAAGGAACAUUUCAGAAAAGCUUCUUAUGUGACACACUGGGAAAAUAAGCAUUCACACGCUGCCAAGACUGGAAGAAAAGUGCUCCAAUCCUCUGAUAAUCUUCAUGGCUCACCUCUGGGCCCGCUCCAACAGCUCCACAUCUCUUCUGUGCUGGAGGCCCCCACCUCUGGGCCCGCUCCAACAGCUCCACAUCUCUUCUGUGCUGGAGGCCCCCACCUCUGGGCCUGCUCCAACAGCUCCACAUCUCUUCUGUGCUGGAGGCCCCAGACCUGGAUGCAGUACUCCAGAUGAGUCCUCAUGAGGACGGAACAGAGGAGGACAAUCACCUCCCUCUCCCUGCUGGCCACCCCUAUUUUGACACAGCCCAGGAUACUGUUGGCUUUCCAGGCUACAAGAACACACUACUGGUUUGUGUUGAGCUUUUCAUCCACCAGCACCUCCAAGUCCUUUUCCUCAAGGCUGCUCUCAGUGGGCACACAGAUAUGUGAUCAACACCGGAAUGGUAAAGACUCUGGCACUUUGCACUUCUGUUCUUGUUGCUGCCCUUAGCUUGUUUGUCUACUUGGACCACAGACUGUGCAAGUGAGGGACUUAGUCCAACAUGCGUUGGAAGAACAAAAUGUGGUGAAAGCUGAGUACUGGGAAUUUGCAAGUAGCAGUGAAGGCUGGGAACUGGAAACUUGCCGGUCACUGUUGAAAGUCGGUGAUCUGAUGAUCACUGAAGCUAAGGGCUAUCAAGAGCAUGGAAUGGCAACUGGAGAAUGAAUAGGAAGGAUCCCUUGCUUAUGUUAUGCCUGACACUGAGGAACUAAUGGAAUGCUGGGUCGUAUGACAGUACCUACAGUAUGUCAUUGUAAAAAAAAAAAAUGUUUACCAAAAAAAAAAAAAAAUCCAUUAAAAUGAUUCAAACGUUGUGUGAUGAAAAAGGUAAAGAAUUACCCUGCUUAUUUUAUAGAAAAGGUAAAGAAUGGGCUUGGUCAGUCAGUCUAGAAGUGCGUAGGUGUGGAGAAGACACUUGCUAGCAGUAAUUUGUUCAACCUGGCAAAUGUACAGCAAGAGCCAAAGGCUUGCUGAACAAAAGCAG
ensembl:lncRNA